rnacentral:rRNA from 1 species
GACGAACGCUGGCGGCGUGCUUAAUACAUGCAAGUCGAACGGUGAAGCGCCUUCCUUUUUGGUGGGUGUGGAUGAGUGGUGAACGGGUGAGUAACACGUGAGUAACCUGCCCCCUUCUUCUGGAUAACCGCAUGAAAGUGUGGCUAAUACGGGAUAUUCUGGGUCUGUCGCAUGAUGGGUCUGGGAAAGAUAUUGUUUCGGUGGGGGAUGGGCUCGCGGCCUAUCAGCUUGUUGGUGGGGUGAUGGCCUACCAAGGCGGUGACGGGUAGCCGGCCUGAGAGGGUGGACGGUCACAAUGGGACUGAGACACGGCCCAGACUCCUACGGGAGGCAGCAGUGGGGAAUAGUGCACAAUGGGCGCAAGCCUGAUGCAGCGACGCCGCGUGAGGGAUGGAGGCCUUCGGGUUGUGAACCUCUUUCGCCAGUGAAGCAGGCCUGCCUCGUUUGUGGGUGGGUUGACGGUAGCUGGAUAAGAAGCGCCGGCUAACUACGUG